rnacentral:rRNA from 1 species
AAUCCAUAGGUUAAUGAGGCGAACCGGGGGAACUGAAACAUCUAAGUACCCCGAGGAAAAGAAAUCAACCGAGAUUCCCCCAGUAGCGGCGAGCGAACGGGGAGGAGCCCAGAGCCUGAAUCAGCAUGUGUGUUAGUGGAAGCGUCUGGAAAGGCGCGCGAUACAGGGUGACAGCCCCGUACACAAAAGCGCAUGUGCUGUGAGCUCGAUGAGUAGGGCGGGACACGUGGUAUCCUGUCUGAAUAUGGGGGGACCAUCCUCCAAGGCUAAAUACUCCUGACUGACCGAUAGUGAACCAGUACCGUGAGGGAAAGGCGAAAAGAACCCCGGCGAGGGGAGUGAAAAAGAACCUGAAACCGUGUACGUACAAGCAGUGGGAGCACAGGUUUACCUGUGUGACUGCGUACCUUUUGUAUAAUGGGUCAGCGACUUAUAUUCUGUAGCAAGGUUAACCGUAUAGGGGAGCCGGAGGGAAACCGAGUCUUAAUUGGGCGUUAAGUUGCAGGGUAUAGACCCGAAACCCGGUGAUCUAGCCAUGGGCAGGUUGAAGGUUGGGUAACACUAACUGGAGGACCGAACCGACUAAUGUUGAAAAAUUAGCGGAUGACCUGUGGCUGGGGGUGAAAGGCCAAUCAAACCGGGAGAUAGCUGGUUCUCCCCGAAAGCUAUUUAGGUAGCGCCUCGUGAAUUCAUCUCCGGGGGUAGAGCACUGUUUCGGCUAGGGGGCCAUCCCGGCUUACCAACCCGAUGCAAACUGCGAAUACCGGAGAAUGUUAUCACGGGAGACACACGGCGGGUGCUAACGUCCGUCGUGAAGAGGGAAACAACCCAGACCGCCAGCUAAGGUCCCAAAGUCAUGGUUAAGUGGGAAACGAUGUGGGAAGGCCCAGACAGCCAGGAUGUUGGCUUAGAAGCAGCCAUCAUUUAAAGAAAGCGUAAUAGCUCACUGGUCGAGUCGGCCUGCGCGGAAGAUGUAACGGGGCUAAACCAUGCACCGAAGCUGCGGCAGCGAACGUAUCACCCAAGACAACUUUACGGAGUUGACGAUUGACGGAGCGAAGCGACGUCAAAGCGUUCAUUAAAGUCGAGUUGGCUUAGGGAUACGUUCGUUGGGUAGGGGAGCGUUCUGUAAGCCUGUGAAGGUGUGUCGUGAGGCAUGCUGGAGGUAUCAGAAGUGCGAAUGCUGACAUAAGUAACGAUAAAGCGGGUGAAAAGCCCGCUCGCCGGAAGACCAAGGGUUCCUGUCCAACGUUAAUCGGGGCAGGGUGAGUCGACCCCUAAGGCGAGGCCGAAAGGCGUAGUCGAUGGGAAACGGGUUAAUAUUCCCGUACUUGGUGUUACUGCGAAGGGGGGACGGAGAAGGCUAUGUUGGCCGGGCGACGGUUGUCCCGGUUUAAGCGUGUAGGUGUGUGUUCCAGGUAAAUCCGGUUCACUUUAACACUGAGGCGUGACGACGAGGCACUACGGUGCUGAAGCAACAAAUGCCCUGCUUCCAGGAAAAGCCUCUAAGCAUCAGGUAACACGAAAUCGUACCCCAAACCGACACAGGUGGUCAGGUAGAGAAUACCAAGGCGCUUGAGAGAACUCGGGUGAAGGAACUAGGCAAAAUGGUGCCGUAACUUCGGGAGAAGGCACGCUGACACGUAGGUGAAGUGAUUUACUCAUGGAGCUGAAGUCAGUCGAAGAUACCAGCUGGCUGCAACUGUUUAUUAAAAACACAGCACUGUGCAAACACGAAAGUGGACGUAUACGGUGUGACGCCUGCCCGGUGCCGGAAGGUUAAUUGAUGGGGUCAGCGUAAGCGAAGCUCCUGAUCGAAGCCCCGGUAAACGGCGGCCGUAACUAUAACGGUCCUAAGGUAGCGAAAUUCCUUGUCGGGUAAGUUCCGACCUGCACGAAUGGCGUAAUGAUGGCCAGGCUGUCUCCACCCGAGACUCAGUGAAAUUGAACUCGCUGUGAAGAUGCAGUGUACCCGCGGCAAGACGGAAAGACCCCGUGAACCUUUACUAUAGCUUGACACUGAACAUUGAGCCUUGAUGUGUAGGAUAGGUGGGAGGCUUUGAAGUGUGGACGCCAGUCUGCAUGGAGCCGACCUUGAAAUACCACCCUUUAAUGUUUGAUGUUCUAACGUGGACCCGUAAUCCGGGUUGCGGACAGUGUCUGGUGGGUAGUUUGACUGGGGCGGUCUCCUCCUAAAGAGUAACGGAGGAGCACGAAGGUUGGCUAAUCCUGGUCGGACAUCAGGAGGUUAGUGCAAUGGCAUAAGCCAGCUUGACUGCGAGCGUGACGGCGCGAGCAGGUGCGAAAGCAGGUCAUAGUGAUCCGGUGGUUCUGAAUGGAAGGGCCAUCGCUCAACGGAUAAAAGGUACUCCGGGGAUAACAGGCUGAUACCGCCCAAGAGUUCAUAUCGACGGCGGUGUUUGGCACCUCGAUGUCGGCUCAUCACAUCCUGGGGCUGAAGUAGGUCCCAAGGGUAUGGCUGUUCGCCAUUUAAAGUGGUACGCGAGCUGGGUUUAGAACGUCGUGAGACAGUUCGGUCCCUAUCUGCCGUGGGCGCUGGAGAACUGAGGGGGGCUGCUCCUAGUACGAGAGGACCGGAGUGGACGCAUCACUGGUGUUCGGGUUGUCAUGCCAAUGGCACUGCCCGGUAGCUAAAUGCGGAAGAGAUAAGUGCUGAAAGCAUCUAAGCACGAAACUUGCCCCGAGAUGAGUUCUCCCUGAGACUUAGAGUCUCCUGAAGGAACGUUGAAGACGACGACGUUGAUAGGCCGGGUGUGUAAGCGCAGCGAUGCGUUGAGCUAACCGGUACUAAUGAACCGUGAGGCUUAACCUUACAACGCCGAAG